CUGCUUAAUACACGGCUACUUAACACAUACACCAAACAGCCACAACAUUACAUCUGGUAAGAAACCUCGUCCAGUCUUUACACUGAAACCUGUUUGAGUCAAAAGAUUAGAGUCUCCAGUUUCAUCCAAUAUGCCAUUUUAAAAAUGUAAUCGAUUUAUUGCUAAAUUAUGCUGUUAAACACAAUAUGGGACAUAUUACAACAUAUGUGGACUAUAGGCUCAUCUUCCCUAAACUAUCCAAUAUUUACUGUUUAUCAUAUUGAGAAUAAAUCUAUUUCAGAGGCUUUAUAUGGAGUUAUGAUGAAAAUACGAUUCAUUUUAAACUGUUCUGAGACCAGUACAGACAGACAGCACACUGGAGGUUAAGUCAUGCACUAAAUAGGGAGCAAGGGAGCAUCCUAUAGCUCUCCUAUAACUGUUCUGAGACCAGUGCAGACAGACAGCACACUGGAGGUUAAGUCAUGCACUAAAUAGGGAGCAAGGGAGCAUCCUAUAGCUCUCCUAUAACUGUUCUGAGACCAAUGCAGACAGACAGGACACUGGAGGUUAAGUCAUGCACUAAAUAGGGAGCAAGGGAGCAUCCUAUAGCUCUCUAUAACUGUUCUGAGACCAGUGCAGACAGACAGCACACUGGAGGUUAAGUCAUGCACUAAAUAGGGAGCAAGGGAGCAUCCUAUAGCUCUCUAUAACUGUUCUGAGACCAGUGCAGACAGACAGCACACUGGAGGUUAAGUCAUGCACUAAAUAGGGAGCAAGGGAGCAUCCUAUAGCUCUCCUAUAACUGUUCUGAGACCAGUGCAGACAGACAGCACACUGGAGGUUAAGUCAUGCACUAAAUAGGGAGCAAGGGAGCAUCCUAUAGCUCUCCUAUAACUGUUCUGAGACCAAUGCAGACAGACAGGACACUGGAGGUUAAGUCAUGCACUAAAUAGGGAGCAAGGGAGCAUCCUAUAGCUCUCUAUAACUGUUCUGAGACCAGUGCAGACAGACAGCACACUGGAGGUUAAGUCAUUCACUAAAUAGGGAGAAGGAGCAUCCUAUAACUCUCCUAUAACUGUUCUGUGACCAGUGCAGACAGACAGCACACUGGAGGUUAAGUCAUUCACUAAAUAGGGAGAAGGAGCAUCCUAUAGCUCUCCAUAACUGUUCUGAGACCAGUGCAGACAGACAGCACACUGGAGGUUAAGUCAUGCACUAAAUAGGCAGCAAGGGAGCAUCCUACAGCUCUCUAUAACUGUUCUGAGACCAGUGCAGACAGACAGCACACUGGAGGUUAAGUCAUUCACUAAAUAGGGAGAAGGAGCAUCCUAUAACUCUCCUAUAACUGUUCUGUGACCAGUGCAGACAGACAGCACACUGGAGGUUAAGUCAUUCACUAAAUAGGGAGAAGGAGCAUCCUAUAGCUCUCCAUAACUGUUCUGAGACCAGUGCAGACAGACAGCACACUGGAGGUUAAGUCAUGCACUAAAUAGGCAGCAAGGGAGCAUCCUACAGCUCUCUAUAACUGUUCUGAGACCAGUGCAGACAGACAGCACACUGGAGGUUAAGUCAUUCACUAAAUAGGGAGAAGGAGCAUCCUAUAACUCUCCUAUAACUGUUCUGUGACCAGUGCAGACAGACAGCACACUGGAGGUUAAGUCAUUCACUAAAUAGGGAGAAGGAGCAUCCUAUAGCUCUCCAUAACUGUUCUGAGACCAGUGCAGACAGACAGCACACUGGAGGUUAAGUCAUGCACUAAAUAGGCAGCAAGGGAGCAUCCUACAGCUCUCUAUAACUGUUCUGAGACCAGUGCAGACAGACAGCACACUGGAGGUUAAGUCAUUCACUAAAUAGGGAGAAGGAGCAUCCUAUAACUCUCCUAUAACUGUUCUGUGACCAGUGCAGACAGACAGCACACUGGAGGUUAAGUCAUUCACUAAAUAGGGAGAAGGAGCAUCCUAUAACUCUCCUAUAACUGUUCUGAGACCAGUGCAGACAGACAGCACACUGGAGGUUAAGUCAUGCACUAAAUAGGGAGCAAGGGAGCAUCCUAUAGCUCUCUAUAACUGUUCUGAGACCAGUGCAGACAGACAGCACACUGGAGGUUAGUAAUGCAC